UACGGAGGGUGCAAGCAUUGAUCGGAAUUACUGGGCGUAAAGGGCGCGUAGGCGGCUCUGAAAGUCAGAUGUGAAAUUCUGGGGCUCAACCCCAGAGCUGCAUUUGAAACUUCAGAGCUUAGAGGAUGGUGAGGGAAAACGGAAUUCCACGUGUAGCGGUGAAAUGCGUAGAUAUCGGAAGGAACACCUGUGGCGAAAGCGGCUCACUGGACCAUAACUGACGCUGAGGCGCGAAAGCUAGGGGAGCAAACAGGG
rnacentral:rRNA from 1 species